rfam:Pichia sorbitophila strain CBS 7064 chromosome L complete sequence.
UUUCCAAGAGCGGGCCAUCCCUUUGGCGUCAUCGUCUGUUUUCCAUAUAGUCGAUUCGAUAGCCGUUGGACAUGUUUGCCAUGGCAAUACUACUGUCGUUGGCAGACAUGGAGCGUGGCUCGUAGAGGGACUUAAAGGUGUAUCUCCGGAAGAUGAAAUAAGGAUGUAUCUUUCGGUCAUGUUCCUUUAUACAUGU